rnacentral:tRNA from 4 species
GCCCUCGUGGCGGAAUUGGUAGACGCGUACGGUUUAGGACCGUAUGGAUUUAAAUCCUUAGAGGUUCGAGUCCUCUCGAGGGCA